CAGUAGCCGCGGUAAAACGAAGGGGGCUAGCGUUGUUCGGAUUUACUGGGCGUAAAGGGCGCGUAGGCGGACUGAUAAGUCAGGGGUGAAAUCCCAAGGCUCGACCUUGGAACUGCCUUUGAUACUGUUUGUCUUGAGUUCGAGAGAGGUAAGUAGAACUGCGAGUGUAGAGGUGAAAUUCGUAGAUAUUCGCAAGAACACCAGUGGCGAAGGCGGCUUACUGGCUCGAAACUGACGCUGAGGCGCGAAAGCGUGGGGAGCAAACAGGAUUAGAGACCCGUGUAGUCCCUGUCUCUUAUAC
rnacentral:rRNA from 1 species